rnacentral:lncRNA from 1 species
GGUAGGGUGUUAAAUUUGAUUAUACUUGUUUGCCCACAUAGAACUUGUUCCACUGGAUAAAGGAGAGAUUUGGGCUUUUUGUAUAUAUCAUAUUGGCAUACAAACUCCUUAUGAUUAUUUGGGCCUUGUUUAACAAACUUCAUUUCAGGAAGAACUAUGACAAGAGGCUCCAGAGAUUACUAUCGCACCAGAAGGAACAAACCCAGCUAGGCAUGAUUCUGGCAGACGUUUCUGUAAAAACCAGGAUUGGAGAAACUUCUUCAGGACAUGUUUUGUCUCCAGGGUGAUACCGCAAGCCAGAAACAUCGUAAGUAUUCCAAUACAAUGCUUUCUUCUACUCCACCAAAUAAAUUCCAUUUUUGCCAGAAAAGAUGGCGUGUGUACAUUAGUCUCAGACCCAAGAUGGAUGCCUCUGGAGAUUCAUUAGACUCCUGGAUGCCCUAUAUCCAUCAUUCGGCUUCCCAUAAUAUUAGUAUCCACAAAACUAAGACAUUGGACGCUAAUGAUGACGCUCACUGGACUGUCAGGUGUUCUUUUCAUUAAUAAAAGAAGAACUAUUCAGCCCACAGCCAUGUCCCAGGUGCUCCUGCUUGGCUCUGAUCAGGUUCUGGUCGGCUCAUCCCCAAAAUCCUGCGGCUUCGACCCUGCUAUGCCUCUACAACAUUUUUGUUUGAGACUGAGUGAGUUACCUUUUAUUUCUGAAUGUGUUUUUCAGCUCGGUGCAUCCCAACCCUAGAGAAAACACAUAUUUCAGGAAAUAUGCCUAGGCCCUAGAAAUCAUGGCAAGCCCCUGUGAUACACCCCAGUAGACAGGAGUCCACCUUGUUCCGACCAUUUUCCUCAAUAAUUGCAUGCUUUGUUGCCUGAGAUUUCUCUCCGUACAUUUAUUUGUCUAUCAGUGCUUGGAAUGUUCGCGGUAUGCUUUCUCCUUUUCCUGUUCUGGUCCAAAUUUGCGAUUUUCUGUGAAACUAUAAUGCUAAGAACUCUUACGUGUUGUCUGCAUUGGUGCCGCGCAGACCGCGAGGACCAGGGGAAGAAACAUAACGAGCAUAGUAAAAGAAAAAAAGAAAAAGCCUUUUAGCUCUUCUCCUUUCCCCCACUGCGCCUGAUUUGGCUUCCUGCCACGUCUUCUUCUCACAAGACUUUCAGAAUCAAGCGAUGCCUGGCCAAGAAACAAAAGCAAAAUCGCCCUAUUCCUCAGUGGACCCAGAUGAAAACUGGUGACAAAAUCGGGUACAACUCUAAGAG